rnacentral:rRNA from 1 species
AUGCUAGCAAUGCUUUGGAGGGCAUACAAUAGUUUCCUGUUCUGGGCUUCUCCUGCUUUGGUUUCUGUGGCAACCUUUGUAACAUGCUAUCUUUUGAAAGUCCCUCUUGAUGCUAGAAAUGUCUUCACCUUUGUGGCAACUCUACGUCUCGUGCAAGACCCAGUUAGGACGAUACCGGAUGUUAUUGCAGUUGCGAUACAAGCUAAGGUUUCUUUCACUCGGAUAUCAAAGUUCCUUGAUGCACCUGAGUUAAACGAGCAAGUUAGGAAGAAAUAUUAUGGUGGAAUUGAUUACCCUAUAGCGAUGAAUUCGUGUAGCUUCUCGUGGGAUGAGAAUACAUCAAAACCAACUCUCAAGAAUAUAAAUCUGGCAGUCAAAGCUGGAGAAAAGGUUGCAAUUUGUGGAGAGGUUGGAUCAGGAAAGUCGACACUUUUGGCUGCUGUACUCAGAGAGGUCUCCAAAACUGAAGGUGUGAUCCAAGUCUGUGGGAAAAUAGCAUAUAUUUCUCAGAAUGCAUGGAUCCAAACAGGAACUGUGCAAGACAAUAUUCUCUUUGGAUCGUCGAUGGACAGGCAAAGAUACCACAGGACACUCGUGAGGUGCUCGUUGGUCAAGGACCUUGAAAUGUUGCCAUAUGGAGAUUGUACUCAAAUUGGGGAGAGAGGAGUAAAUCUUAGUGGUGGUCAGAAGCAGCGCGUCCAGCUUGCUCGUGCACUAUACCAAAAUGCAGAUAUCUAUCUUCUUGAUGACCCUUUUAGUGUUGUUGAUGCCCGCACAGCCACAAGUCUCUUUAAUGAAUAUGUCAUGAGUGCUCUAUCAGACAAGACCGUUCUUUUGGUGACUCACCAAGUGGAUUUUCUACCUGUAUUUGACUCCAUUUUGUUAAUGUCAGAUGGAGAGGUUAUUCCGUCUGCACCUUAUCAAGAUCUAUUGACAGAUUGUGAAGAAUUUAAAGACCUUGUAAAUGCCCAUAAAGAUACUAUGGGUGUUUCACAUCGUAAGAACACCAUACCCCAUCAAAGAUCCAAGGAAGUAUCAAUAAAGGAGACAGAUGGUAUUCAUGGAAGUAGAUACACAGAGUCUGUGAAACCAUCACCAGAAGAAACAGGGGACGCAGUUUUCAAGUCUUAUAUGCUUUACCUGAGCCAGAAGAAAGGCUUCCUGUAUUUCUCCUUGUGUUAUGAUUUCUCACAUAAUUUUCGUAGCUGGGCAGAUAUCACAGAAUUCAUGGAUGGCUGCUAA